AGGAAAAUGGAACUGACCAGUGCUCUUUAGAAUUACUGGUGGCCAUGGGAUUCACUCCUUCAGGUUUAAUCAAGGAAGGUAGUAUACGACAUCGGUAUGCACAGAAAAGUGGAAGACGAUUGUCAGAAGAUAGCUUCAUCUUUAGACGGGGUGCAAAGUGCUUUCACUGCAGAAAAGGGAUCACUACAGAAGCACGCUUGGGACCCCUCAGUGUUACUCUCUUGCACUAACAAUUUCAACUACACCGCAAAGAUGAAAAAGCAAGUACCUACCUUUUCUCACAGUAAA